rnacentral:rRNA from 1 species
UACGGAGGAUCCAAGCGUUAUCCGGAAUCAUUGGGUUUAAAGGGUCCGUAGGCGGGACAAUAAGUCAGUGGUGAAAGUCUGCAGCUUAACUGUAGAAUUGCCAUUGAAACUGUUGUUCUUGAGUAAUUAUGAAGUGGUUAGAAUAUGUAGUGUAGCGGUGAAAUGCAUAGAUAUUACAUAGAAUACCGAUUGCGAAGGCAGAUCACUAAUAAUUCACUGACGCUGAUGGACGAAAGCGUAGGUAGCGAACAGG